AGCAUAUACCGGUUCUCGUUAGAUCACCGAAGUUAAGCAUCAUUGGGCGCGGUCAGUACUUGGGUGGGUGACCACCUGGGAACACCGCGUGCCGUU
rnacentral:rRNA from 1 species